rnacentral:rRNA from 1 species
UACGUAGGGGGCAAGCGUUGUCCGGAUUUAUUGGGCGUAAAGAGCUCGUAGGCGGUUUGGUAAGUCUGGUGUGAAAUCUCCACGCUCAACGUGGAGGGGCCACCCGAUACUGCCAUGACUGGAGUCCGGUAGAGGAGUGUGGAAUUCCCGGUGUAGCGGUGAAAUGCGUAGAGAUCCGGAGGAACACCAGUGGCGAAGGCGACACGCUGGGCCGUACCUGACACUGAUGCGCGACAGCAUGGGGAGCAAACAGG